CAGUUUCCAUCCAAAAUAAGCAAAGGAGCUACUAUAGAUCUGCUGAAAGAAAAAGUGUUUCAUGAUUUUUGAAUAUACAUCAGCAGAGAAAACAGAUGACACUCGUCCACCACACAACGGGAGGGCGUGGGACUAAAUCCUGGGACCAGGUCCUGGCACUGGCCGCAAAUGACCACUGUGACCCUGAUUGUGUGUGGAGUUCAUAAUGACGCUUCAGGUUCAUGACACAUUCCUGGAGGGAAAUAAAAUCUCC